rnacentral:rRNA from 1 species
AUGAUAGGCAUUGGUUCAGUUUUAAUAGCAACUGUGGCGUUCGGGGCGACCUUUGCUGUUCCCGGAGGUUUCGUAGCUGACGAUCAAACCAAUAGAGGUACACCAACACUUGCUGGGAGGUAUACGUUUGACGCAUUCAUGAUGGCGAAUGCGUUAGCUUUUAUUUGCUCCUCAAUAGUUACCAUUGGUCUCAUGUUUUCUGGAUCUUCCAUGCAUAACUUGGUGAGCCACCGCAUGUACUUGAGCGCCUCUUGGUUCUUCAUGGCAAGUUCAGUCACAAGCUUAUCUGCUGCUUUUGCAUUGGGCGUGUAUAUGGUGCUAGCUCCGGUUGCUCAUGCCACUGCCAUUGUUAUCUGUGUGCUUAGUCCUCUCGUGGUGCUAUAUAGAAAUUUUGAAAUCUUAUUAAAGUUGGGUAUUCUUGCACGGCCGUUAUAUGUACGGAUGGGACCAGUUCGGGCUUCAAAGUGGUUAGCAAUGACGAUGAUUGCCCAACUGCUCCGGGAACUCUGGCCCUUCAUACUUAUCUUUGGUUGGGCCGCAAUUGCACAGAAGCUCCGGAACCACUGA